UCUUCUACCCCGGUGGUAAGGUCGCCGUUUGUGCUGCGUGUUCUCCUCACAUCCGCACAGUCUGUCUCCGACCGAGCUCCCAUCAUGGUGGACAUCUUGGUGUUGAUGUUUUUCGCCGUUAUGGGCCUCGUCUUCCUCUCCUACAUCAUCUACAUGCUGUGAUGAAGAUGCGUCCUGGUCAGGCGGUGCUGGAGCCUAACGGAGGAUGUUUGUUUUUCCUCUCCUGCAUCCCCGGUUUACACCACAAACAGAGGGAGUAGAGCCACGGCCAGGCCAUGAUGGUUCCCUUUGGAGCUUUCAUGUGGGGAUGAGAGGAGCGAUCCAGGCAAGAGAGGAAAAACAAAUGGAGAAGAAGUGGAAGCCAAACUGUUUUGCACUCUGCAAUCAUUCCCCUCCUUCCUUCUUUGGAACAGUCAGAUCUGACCAGGAUGCCCAAACAGAAAUUUUAACCCUCAUCAUCAUUUUCUGUGAUACUUCUGUGUCAGUAUUACUGUUUAGAGGAGUAGCGAUGUUACCUGCACAUAAGGAUCCAGGAUGGCAUUCAUAAAGGUGUAGAAUUUGCCUUUUUUUUUUUUUUUACGAUUAUUUAUUUAUUUAUUUUUUAAGGAUGGAUUUGAUUUGAAGUGUCCAGUUUGACAGUAUUAUCCAGAUGUUUUAUCAGCUCUUUUUGCACAGGUUUGUGUUUCAGCAAUCAGUUGGAGAGCCUCAGACUUGUGAUGUCACUAUACUUUCCUUCUCACUGUAAUCAUCAUUGUCCACUAAAUUAAGAGGAAUGGAAGGUAUUUGUUAAACUAUAUCAGUUGCUUUAAUGUUCUGAAGCUUUGCAACUACAUUGCUCUUUUUCUGUUUUUGUCCUUAUAUUUUGGCCACAGAUGACAUCCACAAAGAGGCGUUGUUUGUGUAUAUCUGAGUUUCAUAUUAUCUGUUAUAUUUAAAUAAUGUUCACUGAUGCACACACAAUUUUCUGAUAAUCGUGAAAUGUCAAAUAAAGAUGAUUCCAGUAAACCCA